UGGGGAAUUUUGGACAAUGGGCGCAAGCCUGAUCCAGCCAUGCCGCGUGAGUGAAGAAGGCCUUCGGGUUGUAAAGCUCUUUCGGCCGGGAAGAAAUCGGCGACUCUAACAUAGUCGCUGGAUGACGGUACCGGACUAAGAAGCACCGGCUAACUACGUGCCAGCAGCCGCGGUAAUACGUAGGGUGCGAGCGUUAAUCGGAAUUACUGGGCGUAAAGCGUGCGCAGGCGGUUUUGUAAGACAGAUGUGAAAUCCCCGGGCUUAACCUGGGAACUGCGUUUGUGACUGCAAGGCUAGAGUACGGCAGAGGGGGGUGGAAUUCCUGGUGUAGCAGUGAAAUGCGUAGAUAUCAGGAGGAACACCGAUGGCGAAGGCAGCCCCCUGGGCCUGUACUGACGCUCAUGCACGAAAGCGUGGGGAGCAAACAGG
rnacentral:rRNA from 2 species